rnacentral:rRNA from 1 species
GUGGGGAAUAUUGGACAAUGGGGGGAACCCUGAUCCAGCCAUGCCGCGUGUGUGAAGAAGGCCUUUUGGUUGUAAAGCACUUUAAGCGAGGAGGAGGCUACCGAGAUUAAUACUCUUGGAUAGUGGACGUUACUCGCAGAAUAAGCACCGGCUAACUCUGUGCCAGCAGCCGCGGUAAUACAGAGGGUGCAAGCGUUAAUCGGAUUUACUGGGCGUAAAGCGCGCGUAGGUGGCCAAUUAAGUCAAAUGUGAAAUCCCCGAGCUUAACUUGGGAAUUGCAUUCGAUACUGGUUGGCUAGAGUAUGGGAGAGGAUGGGAGAAUUCCAGGUGUAGCGGUGAAAUGCGUAGAGAUCUGGAGGAAUACCGAUGGCGAAGGCAGCCAUCUGGCCUAAUACUGACACUGAGGUGCGAAAGCAUGGGGAGCAAACAGGAUUAGAAACCCGUGUAGUCC